UUGACCUCGGAUCAGGUAGGACUACCCGCUGAACUUAAGCAUAUCA
rnacentral:rRNA from 8 species